GAACUUAAUUGAAUGGAUGAGAAUCCAGUUGUUUUCAGCAGAUUGAUCUUUCAAUGCAAUAAAACAAGGAGAGACUGGUAAAGCAAGUGGAUAGCUGUGUAACCUGGGGUAAAUUAUUUAACCCUUCCUUGCCUUAAUUUCUUCAUUUAUAAAAUUGAAAGAUAAUAAUAAUACCUAUCUCACAGAGUUAUUGAGAGAGCAAAAUGGCAUCACAUAUAUAGAGCUUUGUAAACUUCACAGUGUUAUGUAAAACUAUGAUGAUGAUAAUGAUGAUGGUGGUGGUGGUGAUGAUGAUGAUGGUGAUGAUGAUGGUGAUGAUGACGAUGACUAUUACACUGACCCAGGCAUGAGACAACAAAGGCUUUGACAAGGUUAAUUAAUGUUAGUGAGAAUGUAAGUUUUGGUUGGAGGGUAAAAUCAUGAAGGCUUGGUUACUAUAUAUGAUGAUAUUGAGGAAGGAAAAGAAUGACAAAAUCUUGAAGUCACUGCAACCUCAGAAGCCUUGUAGAACAACAUGAUAUGGACCCACAACUUGCUCUUCUUAAACUUUGAAGAAUGAAAGAGAAGUCCCACUGCUUCUCAGGAAGCCCAUCUCACUUUCACAGAGUUUUCAUGGGAAGAAAACUUUUCCUUACAUAGAACCGAAUCUUCCUCUGCAACCUCCACCUCUAGUAAACAUCCUGGUUUUCCCCUCAGGAGCCAAGAAAAAGUCAUCUAUAUUCCUUUUAUAUCACAGUCCUUCACGAUGACUGAAGUUCUGAGUGAGUUAUCGGAAAAGUGGUGGGACCUUAUUUUCCACCAAGGAAAAAAAAAAGAAAUUAGGAGAGAGGACGCUGUUUUAGCAGGAAAGGACCAAGAGAAUCCUUACAGCCAAGAGCAGCCCAGGAUUGAAGGCAUCAGAGGAAUAAUCUGGGUGUGAAGUCAGAAGUCAAGGACUUUUUACCUGAAUCUUUGAAGAACUUAUUUGAUUUAAUAAAUGGAACUCUGAGAUUUUCA
rnacentral:lncRNA from 1 species